GAUGAAGAACGCAGCGAAAUGCGAUAAGUAAUGUGAAUUGCAGAAUUCAGUGAAUCAUCGAAUCUUUGAACGCACAUUGCGCCCCCUGGUAUUCCGGGGGGCAUGCCUGUCCGAGCGUCAUUACAACCCUCAAGCUCAGCUUGGUGUUGGGCCCCGCCGCCCCGGCGGGCCCUAAAGUCAGUGGCGGUGCCGUCCGGCUCCGAGCGUAGUAAUUCUUCUCGCUCUGGAGGUCCGGUCGUGUGCUCGCCAGCAACCCCCAAUUUUUUUCAGGUUGACCCCGGAUCAGGUAGGGAUACCCGCUGAACUUAAGCAUAUCAAUAAGCGGAGGA
rnacentral:misc_RNA from 1 species